rnacentral:rRNA from 1 species
GGCGAACGGGUGAGUAACACGUGGGUGACCUGCCUUUAGCUCUGGGAUAAGCCUGGGAAACUGGGUCUAAUACCGGAUAUGACCUUCUCUCGCAUGGGGGUGGGUGGAAAGUUUUUUCGGCUAGAGAUGGGCCCGCGGCUAUCAGCUUGUUGGUGGGGUGAUGGCCUACCAAGGCGACGACGGGUAGCCGGCCUGAGAGGGCGACCGGCCACACUGGGACUGAGAUACGGCCCAGACUCCUACGGGAGGCAGCAGUGGGGAAUAUUGCGCAAUGGGCGGAAGCCUGACGCAGCGACGCCGCGUGGGGGAUGACGGCCUUCGGGUUGUAAACCACUUUUCUCUGGAGCGAGUUUUGGACGGUACCAGAGGAAGAAGUCUCGGCUAACUACGUGCCAGCCGCCGCGG